rnacentral:sRNA from 1 species
AUCUACCAAAUGGCUACAGUAUGGACUGCAACAAUGCAAGUUUCACACAUUGUCCUGCCAUAUGCCUCCACCCUGACCUAGAGGUACCAACUCUAAGGGU